CACGUAGGGCGCAAGCGUUGUCCGGAAUUAUUGGGCGUAAAGGGUGCGUAGGCGGCGCGGUAAGUCGGGUGUGAAAUCUCGGGGGCUUUAACUCCGAAACUGCAUUCGAUACUGCCGUGCUUGAGGACUGGAGAGGAGACUGGAAUUUACGGUGUAGCAGUGAAAUGCGUAGAUAUGCGGAGGAACACCGAUGGCGAAGGCAAUCCCCCUGGGCCUGCACUGACGCUCAUGCACGAAAGCGUGGGGAGCAAACAGG
rnacentral:rRNA from 1 species